AGCCGGCGGAGAUGAAGGGUAUUCUAGAUAAAAAGGUUGGCAUUGAACUAGUUGUUGACGAGGGUAUGAACAUAGACUAGGAUGCUUAUGGGAGGAAAUGGGUGGUGGCAUAGGUCUCGUGGAGCGCAAAGAAAGAGAGGGAUGGCAGGGAUGGAUGAUAGCUGAGGAGGUGAAGUAGAGGAGGAUGGCAGUUAGGUGAAGUGUUAGACGAGAGAGGUAGCUAGCUCGAAGGUGACCAAAACCCAAAACAGCAUCAAGGGUAAUGAUCAUAAAGAGAGACUCAAGAGCAAGGUAGGGAGGA
rnacentral:lncRNA from 1 species